AAUCUUCCGCAAUGGACGCAAGUCUGACGGAGCAACGCCGCGUGAGUGAGGAAGGUUUUCGGAUCGUAAAACUCUGUUGUUAGAGCAGAACAAGUACCGUUUGAACAAGGCGGUACCUUGACGGUAUCUAACGAGAAAGCCCCGGCUAACUACGUGCCAGCAGCCGCGGUAAUACGUAGGGGGCAAGCGUUGUCCGGAAUUAGUGGGCGUAAAGCGCGCGCAGGCGGUCUUUUAAGUCUGAUGUGAAAUCUCGCGGCUCAACCGCGAGCGGUCAUUGGAAACUGGGAGACUUGAGUAUAGGAGAGGAAAGUGGAAUUCCACGUGUAGCGGUGAAAUGCGUAGAGAUGUGGAGGAACACCAGUGGCGAAGGCGACUUUCUGGCCUAUAACUGACGCUGAGGCGCGAAAGCGUGGGGAGCAAACA
rnacentral:rRNA from 1 species